UUUUUUUAUUAAUAUUUUCUUCUUUCCAGUUAACGAACAGUCGUCUUCUUUCGUUCAUAUAUGAAGAUGAGAGACGGCGUUUUGAGGCGGAAGGAAAUAACUCUCGACCCCCUAAAAUUCUUGUGUUAUCUGGUUCGGUUUUCAAGUGAUAACCUCUCUCUUAGAUCUGGGUUUUGCUCCAUAAGACUUUUUAGGUAAUCAAAUUUUUGGGUAAUUGACACAGGUAUCUUCUCUAUAUUUCUUAUCCAUACUCAUGCUACCAGGGGUGUAUCUGAAUGUGUGGAUUUCAAUAUUGGCGGCCUUCAAAGUGAAGUGAAGAAGUUAGUCUCGGCUUUAAUCCUUAUUGGCGGUUACUAGCUAACUGAUGUGUUACUCAAAU
rnacentral:sRNA from 1 species